CAUUUUAUGGAUCCACUUGCUUGGAUCCAUAAAAUGGACUGAGGUCCACGUGGCAGGGGGGAGGUGGUGCUCACUCCUCACCCCUGCCACAUGGACCCAAGGGAUGAACCAUCAACGCUGCUCAAUGGUCAACUUUCCUCGCGGGGUCCUACCCAUUAGGACAGUGGGAGGGUCAACUCAAGGAGAAGUGGAAAAUGAACAUAUUUGCCCAAAUGGUGAUGUGUUACUUUAAAGUGCAUGUCAAGUGUGCCUCAGAGUCUUACCCCACCCACGUAUCAAUUUUAAAAACUGCAACAUUGGUAGGCGUUGCCUGGAGGACCGAGAGGGUGGAGCCGCGGCAGUGACAAAGACGGCGGCUAACUAGACGAUGCUAGCUCCCUUCACUCUGAGCAGUCAUUAGAAGUGGAGGACGUUUCUCCCCCUCCUUACCCAGACACUCGAGAAGAAAGGGACCAAGUCUAAUUGGAGGAGACAAGCGGACAUGAGCCUUAUUGUUUUGAGCGUGUGAGUUGCCUGAAAUUACCGGAACCGACCCAACAGAACCAUCUCUGAAUGUGGUCCUCUGGUGUCUGCAGCUGGUCUCUGGUGUCGUCAGGAUCAGGAGCUUCCAGAAGAAUGUGCCUUUCAAAGACUCUUUCCCCCUUAUUUGUUAUAUUAAUUAAAUAAAUCUCAAUUUAUACAUUUCCUGUUUUUGUUCAUGUCCAUAAAUACUUAAACAUGCUUGAAAUUAAAACGAGCUUUUAACAGUGAGGUGCUAGUUUAAUUCAUCACAAUAGAGCUAGUUAAACAUGCAAUGUGAUAAUUCAAUUAAUGUAAUUUAUAAAUAUCCAUUAAAAUAUCAAAACUGGAAUCAAAAUGAGAUAUUUGGCAGCACAAAAAACUUGUCAAACACAAUAUUUAUUAUAAUAAUUGUGGGCAGACAGGAGACAGAGCUGAUGGAGGUUCUCAGUCAUCGAAGGAUGGCUGAAGGCUUUCCAGGAACAGGAGAUGUGGUGUUGUCUCUUCUCUCUCUAUUCUGCCAGAUGAGCUGAUAGGUUACAGGUGUGUGAGGACAUCCUCAUGCUGUCAUAACCAGAUGACAGGAGUUAUCAGGUGAUCAGCCAGGCUAAUGAUGAGAUGCAGAAAGAAAACAAAUCAUGCAGAAAGAAAACAAAUCCAGGACAGUGUACAAUAAUAAAAAUAAUAUGUGGUGUUGCUCACCUUAUGUGCUCUUAUAGAGUUAUUAACGUGUGCCUGCCUCAUGGUGUAGAGUCCAUAUUUUGCUGAGUGUCCUGCAAUAAUGCAGGUUAUUAGUUAAUGUACU